rnacentral:rRNA from 1 species
UUGAAAGGGAAACGAUUGAAGUCAGUCGUGCUGGCGCGAAAUCAGCUUGACCGGCAGGAAAGCAUGGGCUGUGGCGAGCCUCAAAACCGCCACAGUCCGUUCUUUCUUACCGGCCUCGUGCACUUUCGCGUGGGCUGGUUAACAUCAAUUUCGAUCGUCAUAAAAAGGCUGGAGGGAUGUGGCUCCUCCGGGAGUGUUAUAACCUUUAGCGGAAUGUGGUGGUCGGGAUUGAGGUUUGCAACGAAUACCUUCAGGGCUGUUCCACCUGGCUUCUCAUCGGCAUCCUGGCGGCGACAGCUUGCUGACGUUGUUAGGAUCAGCCUUCGAACAGGCUAGNGUGUGAGCAAAAUUCGUUAAGGAUUGACGUACU